UUUUUAUAAGCAUGUACUCAUUGUUGUAGGCUGUCAUAAUGUUCAUGAAAAAUUCUUCGUGCUCCACGAUAGACUGAAACAUACCAUAACAAGUAGAUUGUUAGACCAAUUAUGAUAUGUGAACUAUGGACUUUGUGUUAAAAACGUGAAGAGCGCACAUCAGUUAUCGAUCAAAGAUUUAAAGGAACUCUCGAUUUAAUACUGUCCUAUAAAUAGAUCAAAUUUAAACAUACAUCUGCAAGAAUUUACAUGACAUACAAGGUGAACAAGCAUGGCAAUAUGGUGGAAUUUAUUUUUGAGUUCAACAUAAAUAUGUUUGUGAAGACAAAGCCAAUCAAAAUGAUGGCAUCAUAACACAACAAGUUAGUUUAAUUUAAUAAUUCAGCAUUUGUAAGAUCAUCCUUUUUGUGUUUCUAACACAUAAUUUUUUGUAAUUCUGUGACUGAUGCAGUUGUGCAAUGAGAAUUAUAUAGGGAUAGCCAGAAUACAUUAAUAUAAAUAUUUCAAUUCAAAUUACUUUGCAACUAAAGUAUAAUUAUCUUUCAAUAUUUCUAACAAGACAGUUAAUAUAGCAUUCUUAAUUGACAAUUGGUUACUUUAAUGUAUUCUAACUUAGAGUAGAUCCACCACAGAGGGAUUUCACAACCUAACCUAGCCUGCAUGAAGUUAAAUCCUAAACAAAAUAGAUUUGUGAACUGGGAUUACAUGCUAUUAAAUCCUGUUGUGCUAAGCAACCUUGCCCUUGAAUGGCUGAUGAUUUCACGAAAAAAAUACUAACUCAGUAAAAUUUUGGAUUACAUUAAUGAAAUAAAAUUAUGGUUAUUCUUUUGAAUACACAAAGAAUACAUAAUUUGUAACAUUUUCAAAAGCAGGAUAAAUUUAUCUGUGGGUAGAAUCUUUGCGCAUAACACGUAUAUCUGUUUUCAUCGUUUACUUUGCUUUUGUAUAUUCCUGAAUGACAAUGUUAAUCUUCUGAAUCAAUUCACAGUGGACUACAUCCUUUAUAAACAUAAAAGAAUGGAUAGAUCAAUAUUAAUCAACAACAAGAUUAAAUUCACAAAGGAUGAAAAAAAUAUUGGAAUUUUCGUGGAAAGUGGGCAAUUUAUCCGACAUCCAUGAAAGAUGGGGCAUCAUUGGACAGACUUAGGUUGAAAUUGAAAGAUGAAUUCAAGACGACUCUAAUACAAAAUUGUUCAUCAACCUUGAUGAGCAACCCAUUAUGCUUAUUAAUCUAC